rnacentral:rRNA from 1 species
UACGUGGGGGGCAAGCGUUGUCCGGAUUUAUUGGGCGUAAAGAGCGUGUAGGCGGCCAGACAGGUCAGCUGUGAAAACUCGAGGCUCAACCUCGAGACGUCGGUUGAAACCGUCUGGCUAGAGUACGGAAGAGGCGAGUGGAAUUCCUGGUGUAGCGGUGGAAUGCGCAGAUAUCAGGAGGAACACCAAUAGCGAAGGCAGCUCGCUGGGACGUUACUGACACUGAGGCGCGAAAGCGUGGGGAGCGAACAGG